CUUUACUGGCCAACUGCUGUUAUGGUUAUGAUAUACUAUGGUGUUGUGUCACUAGACUUUGACCAGAUAUUAUUGCAUCCAAAGAUCAACUGAACCUAGAACAUAGAUACAGAGACAUUUGUCAUCAGGAAGGUUCUCUCUCAGCACAACGGAAAAUAUCUCAAUGACUUGACAUGUUCUGGUUGUGAAUUCAGGCUACAAGGGGUCAGUGCUCUAAAAUGAGUCUCUCUGGGGAGAGAGAGGAGGGGGGCCCUUCCUCUAAAAUGAGUCUCUCUAGGGGACAUGACACCAAAGCUAAGAGCCCAAUCAAGCAGGAGAGACCAGCCUCCCCUGUUCCCAGCUGUGUGUCCAUGAAGAGUGACUGGUCUAUGGAUCCUCCUAUAGAGUUUAGAAAGGGAGACUUUUCUACUGAACAAAGUCCAAUCCAGCAGGAGAGACCAGCCUCCCCUGUUCCCAGCUGUGUGUCCAUGAAGAGUGACUGGUCUAUGCGUCAUCCUAUAUCCUUUAGAAAGGGAGACUUUUCUACUGAACAAAGGUAAGAAGAACUCAUGGGUCCUGGUCAGUGAGGUAAACAACACUGUCUCUAGUAAUUUCUCCUCCCAUUUUCCCAUUUAUUGUUGUUGUUUUCAUAAUCCAUAGGCUCAUCCUUUUGUCCAUUUCCAUAGUCGUAAAACAAUAUUAAACAAACAACAACAUUCCCUCCCUGUGUGUGUGUGUGUGCACUCCCUGGAUGUGGAGAUGUAAACUCUAUCCAGAUUGCGUAGUCACUUUUACCCCUACCUACAUGUGGAUAUUACCUCAAUUAUAGUCUCAUUAUUACCUCAACUACCUGGUACCCUGCACAUU